CAUCUAUAUAAUAUAAACCAAUAUAUUGUUAGAAUUUAAUUGUGUUCAAUAUAUGAAAAAUCUUAAACUUUCCAUUAUAACUAUUUCUUGUAAUCUUGUCGUUAUUUUCGUAUAUAAUCUUAAAUCACAAAACUAAAAGAUAGAAAUGGAAUAAAUAACAUUGAAUUAAAACGAAAUAUAAUGUUAAUAAUAAAAAUAUUGUGAAUAUAUGAAUCAAAUGAAAAUGAAAUAGGUAAAUGCGAAAAAUUAGAUCGUAAUAUAAAAAAGAUAGUCAAGUUAUGGAAGUAGUGGGGAUAGAUGCAGCGAGACAAGGGCUGACGCGCGGUAAUUGAGAAUCGUUAACGCGUCCUCGAGAGAGAUUGAGCGACUGGAUUUUGCUAGGUCCUCUUUUACUCUCCGCAGCCGUUACCAUCAGCUUGUCUCCCUCUUUUCGUCCCGGCUUCCUAGCCACUAUGCUGAUGACCUUCAACCGUUCAAGAGGGGAUGGACCUCGUUGGCUAGCGGGCCGAGGUAUAAGGUCAAGGUUGCUGUAGUCGGUGUGCACGGGAUAUGCGACCUCCAAAUGCAUCGAGCGAGAUGCGUGCGCAAUUGACGCAUGCGCGCCAUGAGCCGGCUUGUCGUGCGUCGCAGCGUGUCGCGCAAGUCAUUGCCAAGGUCUUCUCUGGUCACGGGCAAACCGUUAUAAGUAGCGAUGGGCACGAACUGGAAUGUAAUUUUUAAACUGUAUAAUUAAAGAUCAAUGUAUAUCAUUAGAUGCUUUUAGGAUGUUAUUAAUUUAAGUUUUGACGAUUUGAAAAAUCAUGCAUCUUCAUUGAAUAAUUUACAUCCUACAUGAUGUUGAAAUCUUUUAUGAAUGAAAUUAUUAAAAGAGCAUAGAAGAAAUAGAAUAUGUAAUAGGAAAAAUAUAUGAAAAAUUAAUGUUAAGCAUUGAGAGUGGCCAUCUUGAAAUUUGUAUUGCAUUGCAUUUGUAUUUUUUUAACAUAUUAUAUAUUCAAUUUGUUUCAAUUUGAUAUUAGAUUAUGAGAAUUUCGGUUCCAUCGCUAGUCGUAAGUUGCCGGUUGAGACUGAUGCAAGGUCGUCAACGAUUGUUUCAGGAAAAAGAAAAAGCUAAUUGUACUCAUUUUGUAUUAAAAAAAAAGAACAUUGAAAGAAACAAUCAGGAAAAGAUGUAUAUAAAUAUUUUUAUUACAUUUUUAUUGUAAGAUUUCUAAUAGAAAUAUCUAUAAAAGAAUUUCUUUUAACCUAAAAUAUAAAGCAACGAAGUAUCAAAUUUUUAUAAGAUUUUAUCGCGAAGAAAUCUAUUUCUAAUUCUGGCGAAAGGAAAUCAUGAAAGGAAUAAAAGCGCGCGUCGCGACGCCUGCGUCACGACAUCCGACGUACAUCCAUGGCCAAGGUCCUCCCCGGUCACGGGCAAUCCGUUAUACGUAGCCGGGAGCCAACACUUGCUCGAGGUCGUCCAUGACUAUCUUAUUCGCCUCAAGGUGAUUCAUCGAGGUAGCUGGAUUUUGGAACACCUUCUACGUCGCGUUAUGAGCGACUUUUGUUGACGUACGUGCAUAACCGGCCAUGCAUUUAUGCUCCAUCAAGACGUCACGUCCUCGUGACCUGUGCUUAGUUGUGCGCACGUCAAUACAUGUUUAUGUAUACGCCGUAUCAAGAAACACGUCAAGGGCACGACCGCAGAACCGAAGAUUCACGAUGGAAAAUCACGAUCGCCGUAAUGAAAGAAAAAAAAAAAGAAGCUCCGCGAAAAUCAGUGAAAUUUCAUUGGGAUCAAAAGUUCAUACAGUUGAAGUUACACCAUGAUUUUUAUAAGUUCAAGAAGUUCAAGGUAAGUAAAUUGAAUCUG